UUAAGACACCAAAUGAAUGGUUUGUCUAAUUAGAUGACUUUUAAUCAGUAGGUAUAUUGACUUCAGUCCAAACAAGGACCUUGCACGGCAUAGUCCAAUAGCCUUUAUGAUAUAGUCAAUGUUUCAUCUUUUUUAACUAAUAUUAUUCAAGUAUACUCUGUUGUUUUGAGAAGGUACGAUGGCAUCUGCACUUAAUGCAAAGGCAAUCUCUUGGUCAAAGCCAACCAUCAAAACAUCCACCUUGAACAUAGAGCACAAGGUGUCCAGGAAAGACGCUGUAACAAGUCAUAUUAGUCAUCCAAGCAGGUUUCACUACCAAUUUCAAUAUUAAACCAGGCAUUGGAAACU
rnacentral:sRNA from 1 species